AUUCAUUUAACACAAACUUGGCUUUUGUCAAAUCAAAACCCCAUGUACAUUCAACGAUCCUUAAAACUGCUACAAUGUAUAGCACUUGCGCGCUCAUAAUCUAAUAUUAAAUAUACAAUUUUGUUGCUUUCUUAAUGCAAUAUGAAUGUUUUAAGGGAUUGUACGUGAAGAGCUUUAAUAAAAGAAUUGUUAAUAGGGAUGCACUAAUUGGUGAGUUAUAAAAUGUAAU